rnacentral:rRNA from 1 species
AACGAACGCUGGCGGCAGGCCUAACACAUGCAAGUCGAACGCCGUAGCAAGUACGGAGUGGCAGACGGGUGAGUAACACGUGGGAACAUACCCUUCGGUUCGGAAUAACUCAGGGAAACUUGAGCUAAUACCGGAUACGUCCGCGAGGAGAAAGAUUCAUCGCCGGAGGAUUGGCCCGGCGUCUGAUUAGCUUGUUGGUGAGGUAACGGCUCACCAAGGCGACGAUCAGUAGCUGGCUGAGAGGAUGAUCAGCCACAUU